GACGAACGCUGGCGGCGUGCUUAACACAUGCAAGUCGAACGGUGAAAGCGGAGCUUGCUCCGCUGGAUCAGUGGCGAACGGGUGAGUAACACGUGGGCAACCUGCCCCUGACUUAGGGAUAACUCAUCGAAAGAGGUGCUAAUACCGGAUACGAAUCAUGCAGGCAUCUGCGGGAAUGGAAAGUUGUUCGGUCAGGGAUGUGCCCGCGGCCUAUCAGCUUGUUGGUGAGGUAGUGGCUCACAAAGGCGACGACGGGUAGCCGGCCUGAGAGGGCGACCGGCCACACUGGGACUGAGACACGGCCCAGACUCCUACGGGAGGCAGCAGUGGGGAAUAGUGCGCAAUGGGCGAAAGCCUGACGCAGCAACGCCGCGUGAGGGAUGACGGCCUUCGGGUUGUAAACCUCUUUCAGCAGAGAAGAAGCGAAAGUUACGGUACCUGCAGAAGAAGCACCGGCUAACUACGUGCCAGCCGCCGCAGUAA
rnacentral:rRNA from 1 species